rnacentral:rRNA from 1 species
AACGCGAAGAACCUUACCUGCUCUUGACAUCCCGCUGACCGGACGGUAAUGCGUCCUUCCCUUCGGGGCAGCGGAGACAGGUGGUGCAUGGUUGUCGUCAGCUCGUGUCGUGAGAUGUAGGGUUAAGUCCCGCAACGAGCGCAACCCCUAUCUUUAGUAGCCAGCGGCCAGGCCGGGCACUCUAGAGAGACUGCCGGGGAUAACCCGGAGGAAGGUGGGGAUGACGUCAAAUCAUCAUGCCCCUUGUGAGCAGGGCUACACACGUGCUACAAUGGCGUAAACAAAGGGAAGCGAGACCGCGAGGUGGAGCAAAUCCCAAAAAUAACGUCUCAGUUCGGAUUGUAGUCUGCAACUCGACUACAUGAAGCUGGAAUCGCUAGUAAUCGCGAAUCAGAAUGUCGCGGUGAAUACGUUCCCGGGUCUUGUACACACCGA